AAAUUGAGUCAUCAGCAGCAAGGACCACUUAGUCCUGCUCUCCUCUCUCUCACGCCACAGGUCUAAGUGGUCCUCGCUGCCGAUGACUCAAUACA
rnacentral:pre_miRNA from 1 species